CACUACGACUCUGGCUCUAUGCACUACGACUCUGGAAUUUGCUCGAACCAGCACAGCAACGGGAAUCUUCCCCGAGCUUCUGAUUGGAUGACACAGUUGUUUGUUUGAUCAGCGAUUGGUUGCUGUGUUACAGAUGACUGGAACAUUUGAUUGGGAGCUCCACGUCAGCAAGUUUCACAACUAACAUGUGACACCCUUUCAACCGGAACUUUACCAUGGACCUGGUGAAACAUACAGGUGGCUGCCACUGUGGGGCUGUGCGAUUUGAAGUCUGGAAUUCCCCAGACCUCCAUGUUUUUCAUUGCAAUUGCAGCAUUUGCACAAAGAAGCAAAAUCAUCAUUUCAUUGUGCCAAAAAAUCGCUUCACGCUCUUACAGGGUUUGGAAAAUCUGACCACGUACACAUUUAACACUCAUGUUGCAAAACACACCUUCUGUAAAACCUGUGGAGUUCAAAGUUUCUACACACCACGCUCCAACCCAGACGGAUAUGGUAUGACCCUGACAACUCACCGACACACUUGGUCUCAUGUGUUGUAAACAGAAUUCAACACCCCGCUAAUGUUUACUCCACACCAACCAACCCAGUUGUCUCUUUAAUGUCAUGUUUUUAUGCU